UACGUAGGCAGCAAGCGUUGUUCGGAGUUACUGGGCGUAAAGGGUGUGUAGGCGGUUGUUUAAGUUUGGUGUGAAAUCUCCCGGCUCAACUGGGAGGGUGCGCCGAAUACUGAAUGACUAGAGUGCGGGAGAGGAAAGUGGAAUUCCUGGUGUAGCGGUGAAAUACGUAGAUAUCAGGAGGAAUACCGGUGGCGAAGGCGGCUAUCUGGCCAUGUACUGACGCUGAGACACGAAAGCGUGGGGAGCAAACAGG
rnacentral:rRNA from 1 species